GUGUGCCGUAGCCAUCGCUGGCUCCAGGGGCGUGCUGUGGGCGGGCUACAGACAGGCCUUCCUUGACUGACAGCCCAGCUAUAUCCAGUGAUACCAUGUGCUCUGCAUGGACACAGCCGUGUUGGUUGCAGCCCUUCCAGCUCUCCAUGUGCUCUCUGGGGCCUGGCCCCAUUGGCUGCAGGCCAUGUGCUCUCAGGAGGCCUUGGGCCCCUUCCCCACACACACAUACUCACUCACAGUGAGUUGGAUCCAAGCUGUGUCAAUAAUUCAGUUAGAUUUGAAUCCAACAUCUUACACAUGAUGCAAGAGCUUUCAUAUCAUCUGACUUUGGGCACCAAACUAAAAAGCUAAGGUUGCUCCUAAACAUUUUGAGAGAAUUAAUUGUUAUUGUCAGGUUAUAGGAAGAAAGGACACACACACAGAAAAGAGCAAUGGAAGUUCAUCACCUACUCAGUUGAAGUAGCUCAAAACUGUACUGAAUUAAAGACACUAAAAAUGUCAAUUUGAAAUAAACAUAUGGGCCAGACAGAAUUGAUGCUUCAACCGCUGACCUUCUCUGAGGCUGCAUGCUGUUCCAAAGAUGUAGAGUAAGGGGCAGUACACUGGUAAAGCUAUAGCGAGGGAGAGACAUUGUGCAGAGGGACCGUGCUGCACCCCACUGUGAGGUGUGAGUUUGUGCACAGCCUUGUAGACAAAUGAGCUCCAGGAGGCAUUGCCUUCCGUAUGACCCAUGGUUGGUCUGAGCCAUACAGCUGUAUGCCUCAACAUGUUCUCACUCUGGUGUUCCUAUGCAUAUUUUUCAUAUUUUAUGCAGUCUUUGAUCUGUAAAGGCAAGUAAUGACAAGACAGGGAGAAAAAAAAUCAGCAAUUUUAUCAAGAAAAAAAAAUUCAAACGUGUGCUAAUUUCCUUGGUGGGAGUUUGCUGUUUCAAACAAAUGGCAAAUUAAGGGUCUCACUCUACAUGUUUUCAAGAACCCUGCACUGCAACCUAAGUAAAUGCCCAAUUCUGCUACCCUACACUGAUGUGAAUCAGUGGCAAUUGUCCUGAUAAAUGAGAUGUCUCCAGAUUUACUUCAGUAAACAAGGAGAACAGAACUUGAAGUUGAGGGUAGUCAUCUUGUAGGAACAGAGCCAAAGCCUGAGUAUUUC